AGACAAUAUGAAAAGGAUGGUCUAGCUGUUCGCAACCUUACGCCUCUUGAUUCUUCGCUCUACAGCUUGGGAUUGAUUACAAGCGAGCUGGUAUACUUUUGCACCUCCUCUGCAAACGAUUCCAGGAAAUAGAUGCCCAUCGAUGAAAGAGUUCGUUCUUGCUGUUCAAGAACGCACGUCGGAUUUAAGCGUUCCACGACCGUGGGUGCCAAUGGAGAAAUGCCGAAACGAGUAAGCAAUUGUCAAAACGUUUUUUUAAUUUUAUUUUUGUUUGUACACACGCACGGAACUCCUGUAGGUGGACUUUAUGCUCGAGGGGAUUUUUCGAAGUUAAAAACAAUGCUCGUCAUCCAAGGAUGAGGAAAUGGCUUCAAAAGCUAAAAGUCGAGGACAUACAACUGCGUUCGAUACCCUGAAAGAAGCUACUCGGUCCUCAAAAGAGAGGUCAGUGGUGGCUCGGGACAGUCUCGAAUGAAGCAGACGACGCCGAAGUUCCACAAGUGGUGGAUCUGAUUGACUCUGGGGUAUUUGAAGCUGAAAAAGUGCACAAGCUAGCAGCUGCCCAAAGAAUGAACACAGGCGCAAGACGAGCUAUUUCUCUUUCGUUAUGAGCAGCGAAGACUACAUUGAUGCAGUACUGAGGCUCACCUUGACGGCAUCUCUCUCGGUUCGUCAAUUUACGAAGGUUGUUUGGUUUUUCUUUCUACCAGGACCGAGAAACCAUGAGAGUCAUCCUCGAACAAGAUUUAAUUAAUUGGACUAUCGAGUUUUAGUAAUAUAUUCUCCUUCUUAA